UAGGGAAUAUUGCGCAAUGAACGAAAGUUUGACGCAGCGACGCCGCGUGAGGGAUGAAGGUUUUCGGAUCGUAAACCUCUGUCAAGAGGGAAGAAGUGUAUGCACUCUAACAUAGUGUGUAUUUGACGGUACCUCUGAAGGAAGCACCGGCUAACUCCGUGCCAGCAGCCGCGGUAAUACGGAGGGUGCAAGCGUUAAUCGGAAUUACUGGUUGUAAAGGGUAUGUAGGCGGCCCUUCAAGUCGCGUGUCAAAGUCCAGUGCUCAACGCUGGGUGUGCGCGCGAUACUGACGGGCUUGAGGGCUGGAGAGGUGAGCGGAAUUCCCGGUGUAGUGGUAAAAUACGUAGAGAUCGGGAGGAACACCAGCGGCGCAGGCGGCUCACUAGACAGUUUCUGACGCUAAGAUACGAAAGCGUGGGGAGCAAACA
rnacentral:rRNA from 1 species